rfam:Dipodomys ordii contig_51883, whole genome shotgun sequence.
AGCACUUGUGUGUGUGUGUGUGUGUGUGUGUGUGUGUAUGUGUGUUUUAAUUUGUAACAAAACCUUACAGACAGGUGCAAACAGUAAAUCCUCUUUGCAACCCAGAACUCAUUGCUGGUAUGAGAUUUUGGUACAUGGAAGAAGAAAUAUG